rnacentral:misc_RNA from 1 species
GAUGAAGAACGUAGCGAAAUGCGAUAAGUAGUGUGAAUUGCAGAAUUCAGUGAAUCAUCGAAUCUUUGAACGCACAUUGCGCCCCUUGGUAUCCCGAGGGGCAUGCCUGUUCGAGCGUCAUUUCACCACUCAAGCCUGGCUUGGUGUUGGGCGACGUCCCCUUUAGGGACGCGCCUCGAAACGCUCGGCGGCGCGGCACCGGCUUUAAGCGUAGCAGAAUCUUUCGCUUUGGAAGUCGGGGCCCCGCCUGCCGGAAUACCUAAUUGUAAGGUUGACCUCGGAUCAGGCAGGGAUACCCGCUGAACUUAAGCAUAUCAAUAAGCGGAGGA